rnacentral:lncRNA from 1 species
UCUAAUCACUGAUUCACUGUCUCUCUCUAUCUCUCUCUAUCUCUCAGGAAUUACAGAAGCUUUCUACAACGACAACAAUGGCAUACUCGAGCUGUCUGAUGGUGUUGCUGGUUGCAUUGAUCGCUGGAUCUGCUUUCGCUCAGUCACCUACGGCUGCGCCAACGGUUUCGCCAACGGCUUCGCCCACCGCCGCACCUCCUUCACCUGUCUCCGCUGUUCCUACUGCCUCACCGACUGAAGCUCCAUUGGCUUCUCCACCUGCUCCUCCUACUUCUCUAGCUCCAUCUUCUCCAACCGCUUUUCCUCCUUCGAUCUCAUCGACUCCCACCGGUUCACCUACCUCUACUCCUAACUCCGCUAGCUUGAACAGAGUCGCCGCCGCCGGAUCCGUUGCCGUGGUUGUCUUAGCCGCUGCUUUCGUUCUGUAGAGAUAGAUCUAGUGGCGUUCAUGAUUUUCACAUUGAGUGAGGGUUUCUGAAUAUCGAUUCGUAUGAUAUUCCAGUUCAUUGUUACUAUUAUUUAUUUAGUAGUUGAUUUUAGUAAUUUGUUGUAUGUCGAUCUCGGAUUCACGAUCUAGUACUCGAUUUGUUGUUGUUAUCAUUAUCAUUUUAUAUACCGAUUUGUUCAUGAGUUCAUCCGUAGAGAUUUUGCCUUUUUAUGUCUACUUUUGUUCCCUGUGUGUGUGUCAUCAAUGAAGCUUUUUUGAAAACCUGCAACAGAGA